rnacentral:rRNA from 1 species
GUAGUCCACGCCGUAAACGAUGGUCACUAGAUGUGGCGGGUGUCGACUCCCGCCGUGUCGUAGCUAACGCGUUAAGUGACCCGCCUGGGGAGUACGGCCGCAAGGCUAAAACUCAAAGGAAUUGACGGGGACCCGCACAAGCAGCGGAGCAUGUGGAUUAAUUCGACGCAACGCGAAGAACCUUACCUGGGCUUGACAUACUGCUGACCGGCAUGGAAACAUGCCUUUCCUUCGGGACAGCAAUACAGGUGGUGCAUGGCUGUCGUCAGCUCGUGUCGUGAGAUGUUGGGUUGAGUCCCGCAACGAGCGCAACCCCCGUCCUAUGUUGCCAGCAUUCAGUUGGGGACUCAUAGGAGACUGCCGGUGACAAACCGGA